UGGGGAAUAUUGGACAAUGGGGGGAACCCUGAUCCAGCAAUACCGCGUGUGUGAAGAAGGCCUGAGGGUUGUAAAGCACUUUCAAUAGGGAGGAAAAAGCGGAGGUUAAUACCCUUUGUAUUGACAUUACCUAUAGAAGAAGCACCGGCUAACUCCGUGCCAGCAGCCGCGGUAAUACGGAGGGUGCGAGCGUUAAUCGGAAUUACUGGGCGUAAAGCGUGCGUAGGCGGUGCGUUAAGUUAGAUGUGAAAGCCCCGGGCUUAACCUGGGAACUGCAUUUAAAACUGGCGCGCUAGAGUUAGGUAGAGGGGAGUGGAAUUUCAGGUGUAGCGGUGAAAUGCGUAGAUAUCUGAAGGAACACCAGUGGCGAAGGCGGCUCCCUGGACCCAAACUGACGCUG
rnacentral:rRNA from 1 species